rnacentral:rRNA from 1 species
UACGGGGGGGAGCAAGCGUUGUUCGGAUUUACUGGGCGUAAAGGGCGCGUAGGCGGUCAGCACAAGUCAGUUGUGAAAUCUCCGAGCUUAACUCGGAAAGGUCAACUGAUACUGUGCGACUAGAGUGCGGAAGGGGCAACUGGAAUUCUUGGUGUAGCGGUGAAAUGCGUAGAUAUCAAGAGGAACACCUGCGGCGAAGGCGGGUUGCUGGGCCGACACUGACGCUGAAGCGCGAAAGCCAGGGGAGCGAACGGG